rnacentral:misc_RNA from 1 species
CUGAGCGGCUCUCCCCUUGAAGCGGAAGAGUGAGGGAACCAGCAUAUUUUUCAGUCCUAAAAUGACGUCGUUUGCGUUGUGCCCUCCGAUUUCCGUGCUAGGCUGUUCUUCCUCUAUCUCUCGGGUUUCCUUCCCAACUCGGCUAAACUCGCAUUUUCAUAAAAGCUAUUGUAAAUUUCAAGUCAAGUGCAGCUAUGCAGAGCCAAAUUUAAAGGAUGAUUACAAAUCUGCUGCAAUUGAUGUUGUUGCUGAUAUAAAGACUGAAAGGGUUGUAGUCCUAGGAGGAAAUGGGUUUGUUGGUUCUGCGAUAUGCAAGGCUGCUGUGUCUAAGGGUAUAGAGGUUAUAAGCCUAAACAGGUCAGGACGCCCGACUUACCCUGAUUCAUGGGUAGAUCAGGUUACUUGGAUAUCAGGAGAUGUUUUCUAUGCAAACUGGGAUGAAGUUCUAGUUGGGGCCACUGCUGUGGUUUCAACCCUUGGAGGUUUAGGCAGUGAAGAACAGAUGCUGAGGAUUAAUGGUGAGGCUAAUGUUGCUGCAGUGAAUGCUGCAAAGGAAUUUGGAAUUCCUAAGUUUAUCUUGAUAUCAGUGCAUGACUACAAUCUACCAUCAUUUUUACUCUCUUCUGGAUACUUCACAGGAAAGAGGAAAGCAGAGUCAGAGGUUCUUUCCAAAUAUCCAAACUCUGGUGUGGUGUUAAGACCUGGUUUCAUCUAUGGAAAAAGGAGAGUUGAUGGUUUUGAGAUUCCCUUGGAUUUAGUUGGGCAGCCAUUGGAGAGAAUUCUUCGAGCUACUGAGAACUUCACCAAGGCAUUUAGUUCUCUACCAGCGUCUGAUCUCCUCUUGGCACCACCAGUUAAUGUUGAUGAUGUCGCA